UAUUAAAAACAUUUAUCUUAACAACUUUGAUUGUGCCUAUAAGAUACGUAUACAUAUUUCUCGCGCGUAAAAAAAUUCCAUCGAGUGAAAAGUCGGUAUCUUUUAAGGUAUACGAUGCAAAUAAUUUGGAGCGUUUAUACUAACCGGAAAAACAGUUUCUCCGCUAUAAUCGGUAUUUAAAAUAUUAAAUAGCCGACAUUUUCCUAAUUAAAACACAGUCAGCAAACAAUGUUUGUUUGCGUCGCGGACCUGAUGGUAUCACUUAUUAAAAUUAUACGAUAUAAUAAGAUAUUUCUUGUUGUUGUGACAAAUUCGAAAUAUUUUUAAUUACACAGUUAUACCUAAAUAACACUCCCGAGGCAGAUACCUAUAUAAAUUCAAUAAUUUAUUUGAAAAUCAAACUGAUAACAUUUAAAAAAAAACAAGUUAUUCGAAAGAUUAAUCGCGUCAAUUUUUU